AAAACUUUCAACAACGGAUCUCUUGGUUCCAGCAUCGAUGAAGAACGCAGCGAAAUGCGAUAAGUAAUGUGAAUUGCAGAAUUCAGUGAAUCAUCGAAUCUUCGAACGCACAUUGCGCCCCUCGGUAUUCCGGGGGGCAUGCCUGUUCGAGCGUCAUU
rnacentral:rRNA from 1 species